UUUCCCCAAAAGAGAAGGAAAAUAUGUUCUGUAGUGUCAAAAUUAACUAUAUAGAUGAAGGCAGAACAUGUCAAGUCCAAAGUUACCAGCUGCUUCCCUCACCUGCCAAGUUUCAGUGUCUGCCACCUCAGGCUGGGGACUUUGUAGAGUGACACCCAUUGGUAAUGAACUGGAGUGGAACCCAAAGGUAACUAAUUCUAUUCAUCAAACACUUAAAGGAGAACUACACAAAGCAUAAGUAGUACUGCCCUUGGGAAACACAACUGGGAUUGACCCAAUGGGAGUUAACUACGAGUUCCUUACGACACUAUUAUGAUGAAAAAGAUGGCAAUAUCUGGAGAAGAAUUAAACAUGGGAACGUGCCUGUUGGGACA